CCUACGGGAGGCAGCAGUGAGGAAUAUUGGUCAAUGGGCGCGAGCCUGAACCAGCCAAGUAGCGUGAAGGAUGACUGCCCUACGGGUUGUAAACUUCUUUUAUAAAGGAAUAAAGUGAGGCCCGUGUGCCUUUUUGUAUGUACUUUAUAAAUAAGAAUCGGCUAACUCCGUGCCAGCAGCCGCGUUAAUACGGAGGAUCCUAGGGUUAUCCGGAUUUAUUGGGUUUAAAGGGGCCGUAGGUGGGUUGUUAAGUCAGUUGGUAAAGUUUGCGGCUCAAACGUAAAAUUUCAAUUGAGACUGGCAGUCGUGAGUACAGGUGAGGUAGGCGGAAUUCGGGG
rnacentral:rRNA from 1 species